GACAAGAGACAGCAGUCGCUCAAUUACCAUGACAUAGUCGUACGGUGAAUGUUGUGUUUGGAGUCCAAUGUUAACUGUAAGACUGUGUCUUGGUGGUUGCCAGCCAAGCAACAAGCGAUG
rnacentral:pre_miRNA from 13 species